GCGGUUAUACGAGGGGCCCAAGUUGAUAGCCGUCGGCGUAAAGGGUGGUUAAGGUAGAACUAACACUAAAGCCGAAUGUACACAAAGCUGUUAUACGCACUCGAAAAUAAGAAGCUCAAUUACGAAAGUAGCUUUACAUCUCCCGAAUCCACGAAAACUAUGACA
rnacentral:rRNA from 1 species